CCAAGGAGUUUAGCGUGUGCGCGAGUCAUUGAGUGAAAAAACUCAAAGGCAAAAUGAAAGUGAAGGAUUCUUCUCGUUUCUAAGGGAAGAUGGAUGCGUCUCAACGACCAUUCCGCACUCCCGGGGCGUCUCUAUCUCAUUGCGAGAGGAGGCGCACCUAGAGCGUACACGCUGAUACCCGAAAGAUGGUGAACUAUGCCUGGCCAGGACGAAGCCAGGGGAAACCCUGGUGGAGGUCCGCAGCGAUUCUGACGUGCAAAUCGAUCGUCGGAGCUGGGUUUAGGGGCGAAAGACCAAUCGAACCAUCUAGUAGCUGGUUCCCUCUGAAGUUUCCCUCAGGAUAGCUUGCGCUCGGGCGAGACGAGUCUCAUCCGGUAGAGCGAAUGAUUAGAGGCCUUGGGGUCGAAACGACCUCAACCUAUUCUCAAACUCCAAAUAGAUGAGAACCCUGGCUUUCUUGAACUAUGAAGCUAGGGGUUCGGAUCAGAGUGCCAAGUGGGCCAAUUUU
rnacentral:rRNA from 1 species